CACUGUUGUAGCAGGAGAAACAUUAAGUUCUGGUCAAGUGCUCACCAUCUGCAGAAUAAGGACCAGAACUUUACAGAGGUAAACUGUGUCAGUUCUUUUACUAUUACAGCAGUUCAUCGUGGCCCUGUAGUUCGCCUCCUUCACCAAAGCUCUGUCAGGGACCUACAUGAAGAGUGCCAUCACUCAGAGAGACACUUUGACCUGUCCUGCUCUCUCAUCGGACUCAUAGACGGCAGCUUUGAGAUGGGUUUCAACAAUAACAUUGAGUUGCUUGAGAAUUCAUGUAGUAAAAACCAGAUACAGACUACAGUAUGAUCCAUUUUUUUGUGGUUCAAUCAGAGUCUGCUCUCAAUACUGUCCAGUUUUAUAGUUGUUCCUAUUAAUUGAUUGACUGGCGUUUGUCCAUGACUCUACUGUCAAACCCCUAACAUUGUUGUAUUUGAUUCUAUGUUGUUGCAGCCUAGUAUCCAAACUGAUAUGUCAUUUUUAGUUAAAAAAAUAACAGUGUUUAUAAUUUGCUAUUCCUGACUACUGUAGUGUUGUGGUUUCUUGCAGGUAACCUGCUGUUCCUGGCUGUGGUCAGCCAUUUUGGGGCGAAGCUGCACCGGCCCAGGUUCAUUGCUAAGGGCUGUUUCCUCAUGGCUGUAGGAUCCUCCCUCACAGGCCUGCCACACUUCUUCAUGGGACGGGAGAAAAUCAAGUGAGUUUGACAAACUCCAGAAGGAGAACUCACAGAUGAAGAGCGUCAUCGAAAACCUGAGGAAGCAAAACAUGGCUUUAAACCAACAGGAUGACCAGGACAAGUUUUCAAGUUUUGGCUAUCAGGAGAGCUACCCAAUCGCAGAGGGCCAUCGUGGCUUCAUCAGUGAUGCCAGACUUCUGCAGAUGCAGAGAGCUGAAAGAGAGGCCAUGGAAGCAAAGCAAAGAAAGAUAAGUGCUAUCCAUGAGAAUUAUGUCCGGACUGCUCUCAUCGGGGUUGGCAGCACCUUCGCGCACCACUUCGUCCCCUCUAUUCAGUGCAUUCCGCGGCCGAAAGCUCCACCGAGGCCUUUGCCACGAAGGCUUGAGCACAUAGCUCUGGCCCCACUGAAGAACGUGGUGGGGGUGGACGGAGCCCAAGUUCGACCCGGAUCUCACUCUCUGGAGUCCAUCCAGGUAAAUAAGUCAUUCAGCAGCAGUAGCGUGUGGCCUGUUCCCGUCCCUCCCACUGCAGCUCCCUCCAAGAGGGGAAAGAAGAAGAAGGGCAGGCGGGGAGUCAAAGCCCUGAAAGUCCAGUCGGACCAGGGCUGUGCUGACAACAACGGACCCAUUGACCUGAUGGAGGAGGUGAGGGACAUCGAGGCUCACCUGAAGGAGGAGGACUGGAAGGUGGUACAUGAGGUGAAGGCCAUGGGCAGGAGAAGUUUGGGCUCGGUCAUGUCCACGGGGGAAAUAGCAACCAGCUCUCUGGGAAGCCUGAGCUCAGUGGAUAUGAACACCCCUGCGGAGCUCCGUGACUACUUGGAUGUCGGGACCCCGGUCAAGUCGCUUGACAGCCCACCCAGGCCUGCUCCCCCUCCUACCAAGCCCAGGAGCAAACAGCCUCGGCCUAUAAGGUUCCUUAGCCUGCCAAAGGCUGCCACCGGCUCAGACAAGAUGGCAGCCAGUGAGCCAAAGGGUCAAAUUAAGAACCAGGCCAGAUUGCAGCCCCUGUCCAACCCAGAGCAGGCCCUGACUAAGACCUUCAAGCUGCUCCACUCUGCCUCUGAUGACUGGGAGAAGAAGAUCGAGGGCUUGACCACUCUCCGUGUGAUGGCUCAGAACCACAUGGACAUACUGAUGCCUAAACUCCAUGAUAUCUGCCUUGCCAUUAUAAAUGAGGUGAAGAACCUGCGCUCUGCAGUGUCCUGUGCUGCCAUGGCCACACUGGGUGACAUGUACGUGCACCUCCAGAGGGCCAUGGACAGUGAGGUGGAGGGGACGGCACGCGUGCUGCUGCACAAAGCCAGCGAGGCCAACGCCUUCAUCCGGCAGGGCGCCAACUUUGCCCUGGGUCACAUGGUGCAGAGCUGCACCCCUACACGUGUCAUGAAUGCCCUGCUGGUCGGUGGGCUGAGCCACCGUAACGCUGCGGUGAGGAGCUGCACUGCUCAGCACCUGGAGAGACUGGCUGAGGUCAUGGGGACGGCUCGUCUCCUGUCGGGGAAGAAAGACCUCACUGACCGUUUCUUGAUUGCCGUCAGUAAACUGGCUGUGGACCCUUCACAGGAAGUCAGGCAUCAUGGUCGCAAUAUCUUGAGCAACAUGGCCACCAAUGGCGACUUUCCUAAAAUGUGGGACAAAUUCGCUCCGAGGAAAGAGAGAGAAUCCUUGAGGGAGGUCAUCUCGAAGGUUAACCUCAAAGAAAGGUACAUUCUCUCUGGAUGAUUAGAAGAAGUGUAACAAAUGAGCUGAUAUGAUUACAGAAAUCCAAUCCCACUGGGCACAGAAAUCAGAUCCAUGUCUAGUUUGAUUUAAAUUUGGGAAAUCAACCAAAAAUGCUGGUUAAAAGUUGGGUGAAUAAAAUCCAAUUGAGUUUUCAGCGUUGAUUCACCGUCAUCACAUAGAUUUUCUUGUUGUUGAAAUGAGGUGGAAAAGUUUAUUCAACCAGUUUUGGCCCAAAGGGAUGAAUUUAAUAUACUUGUCACAACUCUUACCGAAGGUGGCUCCCCUUCCCGUUCGGGUGGCGCUCGGCGGUCGUCAUCACCGGCCUACUAGCUGCCACUGAUUCUUUCCUCCCCCUCCUUGUCUGUUUAUUGGUUACACCUGUUGUGUAUUUGCUGAUUAGUUGGGCUUUAUUAGCCAGCCGGCCCGCCUGCUCUUUGUGCGGGAUUGUUUUGUGUAACUUGUGUGCACGUCUGUGGGUUACAUGUUUCCCAUUUCGUGGGUUUUGCUGGACAGUUUAAGUCCCUGUGUUUUCGUGGGGUUGGCUUAUGUUCGCCGUUUUGUGCAUUAAAUUAGCACUACCCUGAACUCUCUGCUUCCUGCGCCUGACUUCUCACCCACUACACCCAGAACGUUACAAUACUGUAAGAUUAUAUCUUUCUGUCUUUUCUCUUUUUCAACAGGAAUAUCUGAAUCAUCCCCAACUUGACUAUAUAUUUGUAUCUAAAUAUUUGCACAUUUCCCAACUUGACUAUUAUCCCCUCCAGCCCCCAAACUCCAAUAUUUUCUCUCAUUCUAAGAAAUUUGACACUAUCAUCCAACCCCCAUGUAAAUGCAUCUUUAAACUGCAUUGACUCCUUGUCCAAGUUCUGAAUCCACUAUUAGGCCAUAUGAACCACAUUCAAAGCACUAAAUUACCUUUCCUCGAAGCUCCUAUCUGAUCUACCAGCUCAAUAGUGGUCUACUGAAACCAUACUCACCAUCUCAGGGGGUGCAAAGACCAUCAACCACUGACCUCCACACCAUCCUCAAAACCAGCAGUCCUCUUUUGGAGACAGAUUGGUCAGUGCUCCUGUAUGGCACCAACAUUGUGGAUUUUCAUCCAAUACUUCUGGACUAUGGGAACAUUCUUUGGACAAUAAAAUGAGGACCUGAGCCCUAGGACCAUGCCUCAACUCUCUAGAGACAGCAGGAGUGACCCCACACUCAUCGCUAGAGAUCGAACUUCAGACUCGCUCCAAAACCACUGAACCCCUCAACACACCGAAAGAGAUUACGAUAUACCCCCUUAGAGUGAGCCGGAACAGGAUAACUCCCUCCACCAUCACAAAGACACAGAGGAGGAGGAACUAUCCAACACCCAGGGAGAGAGAACGAGUGACCUCAGUCGAACACAGCCAGAAAGAGGAGGUGGAAGAGGUGUUAGAUAGAGGAUGUGAGCAAGAAAGAGCAGAAGGCUUCUGGUCAGCCAAAUGGCAGGCAGAGGGAGAGGUCAUAGUGAUUCACACCCACAGAGAGAAAGACAACCCACACAACCUCUUGGUUGAGAUGAACCGCACAGCGUUAGAGGCAGAGGGCUUUCAGCGCUAGCCAGUCAGCCUGCCUGCUCUGAUCCUCAAGUCAAUUGUAUUUAAAUUCAUGUUCAUUAAAGAUUUUUAUUCAAGAA